rnacentral:rRNA from 1 species
UACGGAGGGUGCAAGCGUUGUCCGGAUUUAUUGGGCUUAAAGGGUGCGUAGGCGGCCCGUUAAGUCAGUGGUGAAAUCCCAGGGCUCAACCCUGGAACUGCCAUUGAUACUGACGGGCUUGAGUUCGGUUAAGGCGGGCGGAACUGAUGGUGUAGCGGUGAAAUGCAUAGAUACCACCAAGAACCCCGAUUGCGUAGGCAGCUCGCUGAGCCGAAACUGACGCUGAGGCACGAAAGCGUGGGGAGCGAACAGG